UACGUAGGGGGCAAGCGUUGUCCGGAUUUAUUGGGCGUAAAGCGCGUGUAGGCGGCCAUGUAGGUCUGACGUGAAAUUCCGAGGCUCAACCUCGGCAGGUCGUUGGAAACCAUCAGACUAGAGUCCGGAAGAGGAGAGUGGAAUUCCUGGUGUAGCGGUGAAAUGCGCAGAUAUCAGGAAGAACACCCGUGGCGAAAGCGGCUCUCUGGAACGGUACUGACGCUGAGACGCGAAAGCGUGGGGAGCGAACAGG
rnacentral:rRNA from 1 species